rnacentral:rRNA from 1 species
UACGUAGGGUGCAAGCGUUAAUCGGAAUUACCGGGCGUAAAGCGUGCGCAGGCGGUUUUGUAAGUCUGACGUGAAAGCCCCGGGCUUAACCUGGGAAUUGCGUUGGAGACUGCAAGGCUUGAAUCUGGCAGAGGGGGGUAGAAUUCCACGUGUAGCAGUGAAAUGCGUAGAGAUGUGGAGGAACACCGAUGGCGAAGGCAGCCCCCUGGGUCAAGAUUGACGCUCAUGCACGAAAGCGUGGGGAGCAAACAGG